AUUGAACGCUGGCGGCAGGCCUAACACAUGCAAGUCGAACGAGUGGCGGACGGGUGAGUAAUGUCUGGGAAACUGCCGGAUGGAGGGGGAUAACUACUGGAAACGGUAGCUAAUACCGCAUACCAUCAGAUGUGCCCAGAUGGGAUUAGCUAGUUGGUUGGGUAACGGCUCACCAAGGCGACGAUCCCUAGCUGGUCUGAGAGGAUGACCCGCCACACUGGAACUGAGACACGGUCCAGACUCCGACGGGAGGCAGCAGUGGGGAAUAGUGCACAAGGGGCGAAAGCCUGAUGCAGCCAUGCCGCUUGUAUGUAGAAGGCCGUCUGGUUGUAAAGUACUUUCAGCGGGGAGGCGUUACCCGCAGAAGAAGCACCGGCUAACUCCGUGCUAGCAGCCGCGGUAAUUC
rnacentral:rRNA from 1 species